rnacentral:lncRNA from 10 species
GUUUGGCUGGCAGAAUUCAGCCAGAGAAUGCCCUGUGCAGGCGCAGAGAAGGAUUGCAAAGUGCCAGGGGUGGGUGACUGGUUAACCAUUUACUUCCCUCCCAGGGAGGACAGCAGAAAAGAGGCCCCAGCUGCUGCCCACUCCUGCCCACAGCCUUGGUGUUCCUGAUCCAGCACGUUGCCAUCAUCCUCGCCCCAGAUACCAGCCAAGGAGGCUGGAAGGCCAACCAAGCUCCAACCACUGGGCGUCCCAUCGCAGCGUGGCUUUACUGCUAACGUUGGCAUUGCUGUUUGUGCCAGGGGUUCUGUUCAAAACCAAGCUCUUAGAAGAAUUUGGAGGAAAUUAUGACUGCAACCAUGUCUUUAAGCAGCUAACCCUGGAGAGAGAAUGGACCAAGCUAAACAUUAACCAUUGCUGCUGGAGGCAAUUCAGAUGGAAGAUGUGGAGUGUGUGAGGCCUCAGAAGAUGAAUUCGUCCCAGAAAUGAUAACCUGUCCCCCUGCUUUUGUGGGAAAAGAAUCUCUACACAACUUCAUUCCCUCCAGGCCCCAGAGAAAAGGCACCCUGGCCCCUGCUCCAAGGCCCACUGCCUGCUCUGUCAAGGCAGGGUGGAGAGGGAGUUCCUUAAACACGAAUAACAAGGUAAGGUGGUGCUAUCCCCAGCAAUGAGCACCAGUCUCUCUGUGCCUGCUGCUCACUGCAUGCAAAAAUGCACAUAUCUCAUUGUCUUACCUGCUUCACCCUGUGACAAUGUGAAGCAAUUCUUCCUUCCCUUCCUAAACCCUGGUUUCCCAUUCUAGAAGGUACCACCAGAGCCUUCUCCAGCCCUGCUCCCUGAGCACACCAUUUCUGGGGUAUGCACAAGCCCCUCCUGGGGGUCUCCCACUAGUCCCUGACUCUUUGCCCUUCUGGUUCUCCAACAACCUCUGCAGCUCCAUCUCCAUCACCUCCUCUCUCUCCCAAAACCCAGCCCUUCCCAGUCUGCCUCCAAGGCCCUCAUCUCACUGUACCGCCACCAUCAGCCGCCCACCAUCCUUUCCCCACCGAAACCAAGCUCAUCACUCACGUCUUCUCAGUUGGGGACCUCUGAGCUUCCCUGUCACUCACCCUGGAACUCAUCAUCUUCGCCUCUUCCUCAAUGUCAUUCUCCAUCCAGACCCCCUCCCCCAGGCUCCUGGCACCUCAGGCCCGUCCCACUAGAGCCUGCCUCGCUGCAUUCUGUGUGGGGUGGGUAUUGACCUGAUAUUCUCUGCGGCCCAGGGAAGGAGCGAAUAUUGAAGGAGAGGCCCAGUUGUGUUGGAUCGGGGCUCAGGCUGACUUUAGCCAGUCACCCAAGCACGGCCAUCAGAGUACUAAAGCCCUUCUGUAACUGUUGGGGAUCCCCUGAGACCCUCACACCUCUCCAUGAUCUAAAGCAGUGAAGCCUAGCAUAGCAGGGGCCUCCUGGCCCAGUCCUGGUGCUCAGUCUGAUUGGUGGGUCAUUAAACAUUCUUUUUUUUCCCCCUGAGAUAGAGUCUCUCUCUGUUGCCCAGGCUGGAGUGCAGUGGCGCGAUCUCGGCUUGGAGCAGAAGAAUAGGGUGUGGAGGCAGGGAAUCUACGGCCGUUUCACGCUGACUUCCUAGAACUAAAUUGAAAGGAAAACCCUAACUUUCCACCCCUGAGUAACAAAAGGACCAAAGACUACUCCCUUUGCAAACACCCACCUUUCGGCAGAUGGGAAAUUGAAAGUGCCUCUAAUUGGUUGCUUUUUGCAACCAAUCAGACAUUUGCAUAGGACAACAACUUUGUAACUUCACUUCAGCCUCUGAUUGGCUGCUUUCUGCAACCAAUCAGACGGAUUGUGGGCCACCACUUCAUUUACAUGAGGUGAACACAAAGUGGCCAAUGGGAAACCUCUAGGGGUGAUUUGGACCCAAGAAGAUUCUGGAACUGGGCCCUUGAGCAGCUGUUCAGGCUUGCUCCCACCCUGUGGAGUGUACUUCCAUUUUCAAUAAAAUUUUGCUUUUGUUGCUUCAUUCUUUCCUUGCUUCGUUUGUGCAUUUUGUCCAGUUCUUUGUUCAAAACACAAAGUACGUGGACACCCUCCGCCGGUAACAGGCUCACUGCAACCUCUGUCUCUUGCGUUCAAUCGAUCCUCAUGCCUCAGCCUCCCGAGUAGCUAGGAUUACAGGUGCCUACCACCAUCCCCAGCUAAUUCUUCUAUUUUUCGUAGAGACAGGGUUUUGCCACGUUGGCCAGGCUGGUCUCAAACUCCUAAGCUCAAGUGAUCCACUCACCUUGGCCUCUCAAAAU